rnacentral:lncRNA from 1 species
CACGCACGCACACACACGCACGCACGCGCACACACACACGCGCACACACACGCACACGCCCGCGCACACACUCUCUCACACACACACAGAGAUUGGAGAGAGACAGGAGAGAGACAUGUUUUCAUCUAUCCUUUGUGGACUUCUGUUGUUUUUACUGCUGUGAAAUUUGACUUGCGAUAUCUGCUUGUAAAACAUCAUCAAAUCCAAAUUCAUUAUAUUCCACUUUUUCUAUUACAUGGUUUCUGCUUCACUGAUUCAUAUCUGUUUUACCUAUUCUGUAAGGGAGGAGAAGCUGCGUUAGGUUUCAUCUCUUGUUUAAGUUCAGUUUAAUAAAUAGUAGAUAAUGCCUCUUCUCUUUUUUCCUUUUGAAGAGGAGAAAAAGGAAAGAAUUGUAGUUGAUUCUUAUGUAGCAACUUAUUCAUUCAUUCAGUAGCUAUAGAAGCGAAUUGUUUUGUAGGUAAUUAUUAACGAUGCUUUGGAUAAUUCCCUAGCUAACUAUUCCUUCUUUUCCAUCCCAGAAAGCAAUGAAGAGAAAAGCUGAAGUCAGUGAUUAGGAGUGUCUGUGUAAGUAAAAGCAACAGGCAAUUACUGAGUGUGGUGUGAGAGGCACGGAAAGAUUGGGAAUUCAGCAAGAAGAGGAAUUGAAGUCAAACCUCACCUACUUCCCAGAGUCUUCUGGAUUUUCUGUUAGAAGCUUCAGUAUCUGAGGAAAGGACUCAGGCAACAAAUAAACAGCUAAGAUUUUACUAGAGUAUGAAAGGGAGAGCACUGGAGUGCAGUGCGGGGAUGGAGAUGCAGCUGUGGUGGCUGGAAGUACAGGAGGGCAGCUGGAGGCACCUGGCCUCUGAAGCCUGUCUUCUUCAUCUGGGUGAGAUCUGCUGGAGUCAGGAAGGACUUCCUGCUGCAAGGAUAAAGACCUAAGAAGCAUCAUGACCUGAGAAACAGUUUCACAGGCCACUCUUGGCAGGUGAAGUGUGGUGGCGUAAUCAUGACUCACUGCAGCCUCGAACUCCGGGACUCAAGCUAAUCUCUUUCCUCAGCCUUCCCAGCAGCUGGGACUACAGGUAUAUGCCACCAAACCUAGCUAACAUUUUAAAAAAUUUUUUCUUUUGUAGAAACGGGGUCUUGCUAUGUUGACCAGGCUGGUUUUAAACUCCUUGCCUCAAGUGAUCCUCCCAUCAUUGCCUCCCAAAGUCUUGGGAUUACAGGCAUGAGCCACUGCGCCCAGCUACAAUAUAUUUUGGAUGCUGACUUUAUAUCCUGUGACUUUGCUAUGGUCGCUUAUUAUUUCUAGACAUUUUUGUUUUUGACAGAGUCUCACUGUUUUGCUUAGGCUGGAGUGCAGUGGCACAAUCUUCAUUCACUGCAACCUCUGCCUCCUGGGUUCAGGCUAUUCUCCUGCCACAGCCUUCAGAGUAGCUGGGACUGCAGGCACGCAACACCAUGCCCGGCUAAUUUUUGUAUUUUUAGUAGAGACAGGGGAAUCACGAUGUUGGUCAGGCUGGUCUCGAACUCCUGACCUCAAGUGAUCUGCCUGCCUCGGCCUCCCAAAGUGUUGGAAUUACAGGCGUGAGCCACCAUGCCUGGCCACGGUUUUUUUGAUCCUUUAGGAUUUUCUACCAAGACUGUCAUGUCAUCUAUAAUCAAGUACUCUUUUAUUUCUUUUUUUCCAAUUUGUUUGUAUUUUAUUUCUUUUUUCUCAAAGCUUAUUGUACUGACUAAGAUCCCCAGAAUAAUGUUGAAUAAAAGUAUUGGAAACAG